AUCCCUUCUUGGCCUUUUGGUUAAGAUCAUGUGUAGUAUCUGUUCUUAUCAGUAUUUAGAUUUCUACAAUAAAUCUCAGCCAGAGCAAAUUUCCCAGGCUCAAAAAUGCACUUUCAGAAAUUUGAAAGAAUG
ensembl:snRNA U2 U2 spliceosomal RNA